UCCUACGGGAGGCAGCAGUGGGGAAUAUUGCACAAUGGGGGAAACCCUGAUGCAGCGACGCCGCGUGAAGGAAGAAGUAUUUCGGUAUGUAAACUUCUAUCAGCAGGGAAGAAAAUGACGGUACCUGACUAAGAAGCCCCGGCUAACUACGUGCCAGCAGCCGCGGUAAUACGUAGGGGGCAAGCGUUAUCCGGAUUUACUGGGUGUAAAGGGAGCGUAGGCGGUAAUGCAAGUCAGAAGUGAAAGCCCGGGGCCCAACUCCGGGACUGCUUUUGAAACUGUGUUACUAGAUUGCAGGGGAGGUA
rnacentral:rRNA from 1 species